UUCCCUGUAUAUUUUUGAGAGUUUACGUUUUCAAUUUGUGAGAAGUUGCAUAGAAGUGAGUUGAGUUGAUUUGUAACGUACUCGAAGUGUGAAUGGAUGAGUUCUAGUUUGGUAGCGGCACGAUGCGUGGUGCGAGUUAGGCCAUUACCUGAGUUCACCAUUUUAUUAGAAAUCAUGGAAAUAAAAUGACGUUGAAUCCAAAAAAUGAUAAAAAAUUGCAAAUCGAAGAGAUAUUUCAAAUUUGUUGGCAGAAAGGUACAUCAAACAUGUAUUUAUGCGUCAAAACGAAAAUUUUAAUUUGAUAUUAUUGUCAAGACUAGAGUGUACAGUUGAAUGAAAAUGCUUUAAUUUGCCUAAUGGAUCGUAGAGCUGAAAAUACGAGCUUAUGAAAACUGGCCGACUAACCGUUGUGAACCCGUCAAAGCCUACACUUCAAUACUGAGGCUGUUGAUAUUUAAUGUUCCAAUUACAUGCUUAUAUUCAGUUGAUAUUAUCAUUACAUAUCAAAUAAUUUCGAAUAUUUGUAAUGAGAAUAGAUUCAUAGUUUUGGAAGGACCAUUGUAGUAGACAAUUGUAGUUCUAUUUAGCAGUGUAGUCACGCCUUUCAAAAAUUCUCUAGAUUUGCAUAUUAACGACAACAGUUGUAUGGCUUCUUUAAGAAAUGAAUUGAUUUAUCUUAGGAUACUCUCCAAUUUGCUGUUCAGUCUACAUUGUAAAAUUAAAUGCAUAAUUUUAACUAA